CUUUCCUUUCCAUUUGUCCAACAAAUUCGGCCCUUUCCGUUAUUCCCGACCAUAUACGUGUGGGAUUUCUUCCAUGGAAAUUCUCUUUUCAUUCAGUGGUGAAUUCAGAUUUCUUCACAUUAUCUUAAUGUUCUGAAACAUGCGAGACUCUUCUGAUAUGUCAAACGAAGGUAAAUAAGAAGUAUAUUUAUGUGCACAGUGUGUGUGAGUUAGACUCUUUUACUUUUCUUAUUUUAAUUUUGUUUGUGCAAAGAAUUUAAAGCUUCAAUGUCUUGUUGAUGGGACUUAUAUGUGCCCAAACAAUUCGUAACCAUGAAGCAAAAGAGAUCAAUCUCAACUAUCCUAUUUUUGGCUUCACUGUAGUCAAAUUUAUUCAUGCGGGGUUGCUUUGGAUGGCUGAGAAUAUUAUUUAAUUAUUAGGUUUUAAAAGCUAUAUUUUUAAACUGAUUUUCGUGGAUUUCUCAAAUUAAUUUUGAGUAAUUUUUAGUAGGUGAUAUGUUGUCUAACUCCCAAAGCGGCGAAGCUUUAUUAGAUCAAGAAAUCUGCUCCUUGUCCCAGCUUAAGGACAGGCGCCCCCCGAAGCUUUAUUAGAUCAAGGAAUCUGCUUCCUGUCCCGGCUUGGGGGACAGGCGCCCCCUAUUGGAGGGGCGUUUGUCAG
rnacentral:lncRNA from 1 species